AGACAGGAGGGUGAUCUGGCUGUGAACUAUGAUCUCUGUCACCCCAUUGGUUGUCAGGGUUGAUCUGGCUGAUCUGGUUGGCUAGGCAUGUGUCUCCCUUCCUCCCUCACAACUCCAUUUGUGUCUCUUCCAAAGUUGUGCAUUUGGUCAAAGAGGAUGACCUUCCUUGGCACAGGAGGACUAUUCUUCAGUUAAGGACAUAUUUGUACUCCCUUGCUUAGAAUCUCCAAACAAGCUCUCAAGAUAGUGUCCCCUUCCUCUUCUUUUGGUGGACUUACUCUUUCCUUUCUAGUACUAUGGUGGAGGUGGAGCUGCCAGUCAACUCCAUUUG
rnacentral:snRNA from 1 species